UGCCAGCAGCCGCGGUAACACGGGGGGAGCAAGCGUUGUUCGGAUUCAUUGGGCGUAAAGGGCGCGUAGGCGGUUUGACAAGUCUGACGUGAAAUGUACCGGUUCAACCGGGGCGCUGUGUCAGAAACUGUCUUACUUGAGGUCGAGGGAGGAGAGUGGAAUUCCUGGUGUAGCGGUGAAAUGCGUAGAUAUCAGGAGGAACACCCGUGGCGAAGGCGGCUCUCUAUCUCGAUUCUGACGCUGAGGCGCGAAAGCUAGGGGAGCAAACGGGAUUAGAUA
rnacentral:rRNA from 1 species